UGUUGACAUUAUAGUUGUGCAGGCACUUUGUUGACUCUAGAGAACCUCGGACCAAUCGCACAUCCCCGUGACGGCGACUUUGCAUUCGGAUGUCAUCCAUAUCAACUUUCGAUGACAGUUUCUUUGCCUACCAUGGUGACCACGGGUAACGGGGAAUCAGGGUUACAUUCCGUACAGGGACCCUGAGAAACCGCUACCACAUGCAAGGAAGGCAGCAGGCGCGCAAAUGCCUCACUCCCGAUGCGGAAAGGUAGUGACGACA